UUUUUCGCCUUUCUUAUUUUC
rnacentral:piRNA from 1 species